GCAAGCCAGCAACUCCCACAUUCACAUAAAAGGGUCUGAAAUAGACUAUCAAGUAAGGGUGAGAUGUGGCUGUUCCAUCAAUUGCCCACUUGAGGGGUGAUGUGGGAAGAGUGUAGUAUCUAAAGAUGUGCAACUCUAUCAUCAUAAUUCUAAUAUGCUAAGUGAUUGAGCAUCUGGCGAAGAAUAUAUGAAAUGACAUCCAUUAUUUCAGAGUUGAUGUAUAAAGGAAGUCAAUGUAUCUAUAAGAAUAAUUUUAAGUCAGAGUAUACUUUCUGUACAUGUACUGUACAGUAUUGUGUAUGGACUGCAUGUGCAACCCCUGAUGAAAAGGCUAUACAGGUAACAGACUGCAUGCUCGAUUGAUGAAUGUAUUGAAGAUGCGUUCUAAUGAAGCUUACUUUACGUGAAGAAGAUGGAAGAGGAUGGAGAGAAUGGUUUCUGAAAACAAUCUGCUCUCUUUCUUAAAGGGGAAGUUCACUCUGAAGAAAAAUCUGUUGUAAAAAUCGCAGAAUAAUUACUAAAACAAACAUUGGUGAAGGUUUGAGGAAAAUCCAUUAAGGAUUGAGAAAGUUAUUAGAAUUUUAAGAUUUGGAUUUGUGAUGUCAUGAAGUAAACCAGCAGCUGCCCAAUUUGUUAUGUAAUAUUAAAUGCAUAAAUUUCAAUAUUUUAAUGGUUCGUGAUGAUUUAUUUUUGUUUCCUUUUUAGGAAUGGUGUGAAAUAAUUUUUCUACCGGUAUACUGAAGGUACAGUCAAAACCAUUUUAAAUUUUCUGAGAAAAUUACAUUUCAUUGAUCUUUUUUACCAUACAAUAUGUAGCAAAGUUGCUCGCAUAUGAUGUCACCAAUCAAAUUAUUGAAAUAAUAAUAACUUUUUCCCCCCCCCAAUUUUUUGGCAAUAUUUUCAAUUAUUUUUCUGCUAUUUUUACAAUAGACUUUUUGUCAGGGUGAACUUCCCCUUUAAGCCCUUUCAAUAAUGAACUUUCCCUUACAAUACUGUAAUUAUUUAAUAGCCUACUCCAAUAUUUAAUGAUAUGUACAUGUAUAUGGAGCUGUAAUUUGUAAUAUUGUUGUUUGACGUUAUAUGUAUACAUGCCUAUCUGCAUUUGGUAUAUGUUUGAGUGGCUUGAAUACAGGAUUGUUGUUUUUAUUCCCUUCUUGAAAAGCCAAUAUGCAUUAUUUGCUAGUUUGUUAGUAAACAUGGCAGUGAUAAUGUUUUAAAAUUUGAAUACCAUAAACUGUUUUUUGAGUAAGUUGGAUUGCAAUUAGUAAGCAAAAGAAAAGAACUAUUGUGUGACAUUUUUCAAAGUCAUACUUCAAGAGAUACACAAACAUUCUUAUCUUUAACACAAGUACUCAAAUAAAUAUAUUUUUCUGUUGAUAUACAAAUUUAAGUCUUUUGAAAUACACACGUAAAAUACUUUUCAAUACUAAAAUGUUUGAAAAUACUGACAUAUCCAAAACAAAUGUCCGAAUGAUUAAGUGAAAGUAGAAAAAUAAAAAGAAGAAUAAUGUAUUUGUUAAAUUUUGAUAAAAAUUGGACAAGUAAUGAAAAAGGACAACACUCCUAUUUUUUCAUUAGAAAUUUGUGUUUAAUUUCCACACCUUUACUUGGAAACAUUAAUCAAUUUAACACUGACACCAUAUCAUCAUAUGUCCUCAUAAAAGAAAAAAGAUUCUUAUAAAAACUUUUGAAAAAAGACAAAUCGAUAUCUCUAUCAUUCCAUGCCGACCAUAAAUGGUGGAGCACACCAUACUUUUUAACAUCACAAUGACAACGCCUAUAAUAUGCAGCUAUUUAAUAUCCAUAGAUGUAUGGAGAUUAAAUUACAACUUUUUACAAUUUUUUAACAAUUUAUUACUUUAUUAUUUGUCUGAUUUCUUUAGAAAUUCUAUUGCUUUAAUGUUUUUUUGUCUUCCCUUGGAAUUUAUUCCCCCCUUUUAAAAAAUAGUUACUGUUUUUCUCUGUUUUAUGGGUUUGAUAUUAAAUGUGUUUUGACAGCCAAUCUUGAUAAUGCAAUGCAGUUAUAGUGAUAUUGAAAUUACAAUUAUGAGCUUCAAUUUC